UUCAACCCUCUGCCUACUUAUAUGUGUUUGCGGCCAUGGCCAUCGAUGCCUUCGUAUAGUAAUUUUUUUUCCAGUUAGUGUAUUUGUCAAUUCUGUGAAUCCUUCUCAGGCCCAGACAUGGGUGGACAGAAUGAGUGCACCGGAGCAAGAUGAACUCAACUAUAUAAGGAUUUCCUCUAAAAAAAAAACUAUAUAAGGAUUCUGAGGGUCAGCCGUCAGGGCUUGGUCUCGGUGCUAAAGUGGCACCUAACGUAAAGCGCGCAGCUCCCAUUGAUCUGGUUGAGGAGAGGUUGCUCGGAAAGGUGAAUGCCCAGAAGAGAAGAUCGGCGUCAGCGGAGGAGAAUGAUAAUGCUAAGGAGGUGAAUUGAGGUUAGUAAUGAUGAUAGCGGCGAGCCGGAAGGCCGGACCAGCGACUUUAGCUAGAAGAGGGCACUGCCGCCUUCCAUGCCCUUAGGGAAGAAGGCCAAGUGAAAACUUGUUUAUGCAUGAAUGAACCAUGUUGUCGCCUUCCAUCAAGAAUGACCCAAGCUUUAUUUCUAUUUAAGUCAGCUAGUAUGUUUCAGAACUAGGAUCAUGGAUCAUAUGAUCUGAAUUAGCUUAGCCAUCUUUAGGUUCAUCAUAUUGUUCCCAAUUCCCAAUGUCCUGGCAUCUGAUUGUGGGUUCAUACUGCGCCCAACCUAUCAAACUUUUUUACGCAUAGUAUUUUCCAUCAGAUGAUUAAAAUAGUGAGAUCAUACUGUUGGGGAGACAGAUGAUGACUACUGAUGAUGCUGAAAUUACUAAUAGGAACCAAUCUGGGAAAUAUAAGACCAAACAAAGAUUCCAAAAACAAUAAACACGACAGACAUCGUUGCACUAGGGAAGAGGUCAUCU